rnacentral:pre_miRNA from 1 species
CAAGUACUCCCUCCGUCCGGAAUUACUUGUCAUCAAAAUGGAUGUGUCUAGAACUAAAAUACAUCUAGAUACAUCCAUUUCAAUGACAAGUAUUUCCGGGCGGAGGGAGUACAAG